UUGCUAUUAGUAUUAGUUAUAGAAUCAAGUACACCAGCCAGUACAUCUUCAGAUAGUUGCAAUUGUGUUCUUCCAUGGACACUUGGUGUAUUAAUUGGGGCAGUAGUGAUGAUUGUUGCUUCACUUGUGAUCAUUUUUAUCAUAAUAAUUUAUUUUGUCUCACAUAAAUAGAGAUACUACCCAGGUUUGCUAGAUUUUAUUUUUGGACAAGAGUGAGCUACUUAUUUGAGUGUCUAAUUGAGUUUUGUGAACAUUGUGAAUGAGAGUGUAAAAAGAAUGAGUUAAUUGGUUGUGAUAUUU